UCCGGAGCUCACCGAGAGCUGGGGUGGGGAUGGGCCCCCGGGGACGUAACCUGGUUGCUGGGUUUCCAAGCGCUGCCCGCGACCCCGCACGUUGCGCUCUCCGAAGGCUUCUACGGCUGGAGACCAGAGAAGGUCACCUGGGGCCGAAAUGCACACCUGAAGUGCCUGAAAACAGGGAUGGGCAAAUUGGAGAGUUGGCCACCAUUUACAUGUCGUUAGAUUUGUAUGUUUGGAGAAAAGCCGCUACUAUGUGCUAGGUCUUGUGCGAAGAUUUUGAUGAUAUUACAUUUAAUUUCAUACCAAAAUGGUCUUGUUUACAUAUGAAGAAACUGGCCCACACUGUGUGGGAAGCACCUUCCAGGCGUGCCAGGUGGCCCCGCGGUACCAGGGCUGGCCCACUCAGUGCCCAGCUCGCGCCUCUUCGCAGCCUCUCCUGCUUCCGCCGGCUGCCUCCUUCAGGACACGGUAUUUACAAAAGUUCAUUGACCCAUGUUGUGAGAUGACAAAGGAAUCUGCCACCAUGUUCCUUGCCAUCUGGAAGGAAGAAAUUGGUCAUCAGUGAGGGGAAUAAAGUAAAAAUCCAAGAAAAGCACAAUGAACCAGAGCAGGGACCAGAAAUAGGAAGAGACAGUCCUGGUGAGAGUUGUGCACCUCUGUCCAUUACUCUUCUAGUGGUUUGGCUCCUUAUUUCUACAUUCCGUGUGAAGGGACACUCCAGUGCCUGUCCAGUAAGUUCCAUCUUUGUCUAAGCUGUAUGAAAUAUCUGUCACCACCAGAAGCCUGAUCGGAGCAUCACCAAGCCUACUAUAGAGUCAAACCCUUUUGACCACAAAUUGUUGACAGGAAAAUUCAAUGCAUGUUUAUUUUGCCUUCUACAGAACCUUUCAACUUACAGGAGCUAAUCUCAUGCCUGCAGGCAUAUCAGUGUCGAUUUCUCUUGAUUUCGAAUCAUUUUUAAAGUCAAAAUUUUAGUUUCUGCAUUCGAUUAGUCACAUGCCUACAGGACAUUUUUUCCACUUGAUUCUUUUCUUUGGAUCAUUGUAAAGCUGGAACCUUGUCCAUGCCUUAGUUUAAUCCUCAAGAUUUCUAGUAAACCGGAAAAGCAAAGAAGAUUUUUCAGCCUGGAAUACAGCUGAAAUGUGAAGAGUAUAAUUCAACUGAUGAGAUCAUUUUCAUAUUUUUUCCACUGUUCAUCUGAGAUAUUAAUUCGUGCCUGUAUUGUUAGACUACAGGAUCCCUGGGAAACUUUGUAACUCUUCUUCCAGCAAAGAACAAAGCGUGCUGAGGAACAGCCUUCCCCAGACCACCACACACUCUGCUUCAUGUGUAAGGAAUUCAGAGUCCGGAGUGCCAACCAUCCCACCAUGGAACCUUGUGUUGUACAACUGUGAUCUAAAUCCACGUCGGCCAUGAAUCCUCCUUCGAAAAAGGCACUGGAUACCUGCAGGAACAUAAAACGCCGCGUUGUUACAUUAUGGCAGCCACCCCCUGGCCUCAUUCCCCCCACCCUGUACCAGCUGGGCCUGCGUGACCAUGGAGACAGUUGGGGGUGAGAGCAAGUCACCCCUGAGAUGAGAAAGCAUCUUCAUCCCCCAGCAUCUUCAGAUCAUUCGUUCUGGGGGAACCAGUUGCCACAUGGGGAGGACGUUCAGGCCACCUCUGCAGGGCCUCCAAGAUGGGAGUGGGUCUGGGGGCUGCGGCCCAGGCGGCUGGCACCACCUGCAGCCUCAGGGGCGCCCUGAGCCAGGACCACGCAGCCAAGCUGCUCCCAGAUUCUGACUUCCAGAAACUCUGAUCCAAUAAAUGUUUGUUGUUCUAAGCUGCUAA